rnacentral:rRNA from 1 species
AACCAGCUCUUCAAGUGGUCGGGAUAAUUAUUGGGCUUAAAGUGUCCGUAGCCGGUUUGGUAAGUUCCUGGUAAAAUCGGGUAGCUUAACUAUCUAUAUGCUAGGAAUACUACUAUACUAGAGGGCGGGAGAGGUCUGAGGUACUACAGGGGUAGGGGUGAAAUCUUAUAAUCCUUGUUGGACCACCAGUGGCGAAGGCGUCAGACUGGAACGCGCCUGACGGUGAGGGACGAAAGCCAGGGGAGCGAACCGGAUUAGAUACCCCCGUA